rnacentral:rRNA from 1 species
UACGUAGGGUGCAAGCGUUGUCCGGAAUUAUUGGGCGUAAAGAGCUCGUAGGCGGUCUGUCGCGUCUGCUGUGAAAACUCAGGGCUUAACCCUGAGCUUGCAGUGGGUACGGGCAGACUAGAGUGCGGUAGGGGAGACUGGAAUUCCUGGUGUAGCGGUGAAAUGCGCAGAUAUCAGGAGGAACACCGGUGGCGAAGGCGACUACCUGGCCUGUUCUUGACGCUGGAGGCGCGAAAGCUAGGGGAGCAAACGGG